AAAGAUUAGCUAUAAACAACGUGUUUAUUUCAUUUUAGGAUACAUUUUCAGAGGCAACUAGGUAGAAAGGUGAACUUUCCCAUCACUUAGACCUCAAGUCAGCAGCUCAUGCAGCAGUGAUUGCUCGGGUGACUCUGAGUGACCUGUUCUACCUCUAGAGCUGACGUUUCUGUUCUGGUUAGGCUAAAUGGAGGAAAUAAAAAUUCUCCAAACAUUUCAUUAAGAUUCACUGGGAAACAGUACCCUGAGUGCUUAGAGCUGCACUCCUCACACAGAAGACACAGUAAGGGUUAGGGAACCUUCUCAGGGGAUGAAUACACACGAACUUUCACCACAGCGACCAAGAGCUUAUAUUGGGAGUCUGAUUCCGGCCUCUAGGGAAGCUGGAAAAUCCAAAACCAAUCUCAUUAAACUAUUUCAUCUACUCAUAGGAGGAGGUCCAGCUCUUAUAAAACUGCCAACCCUUCCUUCUCUCCCUCUCCUCACCCUCCACCCACAGGACAGGGCCGGGCACACGGAGGAGGGACACUGAGGACCUGGGUGGUGGAGACCCUGGCUUUCCUCUCUUCUCACCCAUGGUGGGCUCUGCUUAUCCUCAUCUUUUCUUCCCCAGUUAGGGUUUCCUGGGAGGCUGUGAGUUGUCUGGGGACCUCAUCAACAUUUGCACAAAUGCCCCAGACUCUGCUCACCUCUUUCAAAGGGGCUCCUCCCUCUGAGCCUGCAAUGUCUGUGUGAUUGGGAGGUGUCACCUCCAGGCCCUGAAACCACAGCACCCGCAGGGUCUCUGGCCCCAGUCUGAGGUUUCUCUACAAGCUUUGGAGAUGAAUGAAGCCUCUGUUUUAACAGGAAUAGAUCGGUUUAUCAAAGCAUGUAAAGGCCAGAUGUUCGUUUCUAUGUUAGGGAUCCUGAAGAGUUGUUUCAGAGUGGAUGAAUGACUGUCACAUCCUCAGUGGCCCUGCCACUCUGACAGAUGAGUAGUCACUUGUCAUACAUCUUGUUCACUUGAACUUCAACGACUGAAAAUACAAACAAUUAGCCAGGCGUGGUGGUGGGCGCCUGUAGUCCCAGCUACUUGGGAGGCUGAGGCAGGAGAAUGGCAUGAACCCAGGAGGUGGAGCUUGCAGUGAGCCGAGAUCGCGCCACUGCACUCCAGCCUGGGUGACAGAAUGAGACUCUGUCUCAAAAAAAAAACAAAAAACAAAAAACAAAAACAUUCUAUUUAUGAUUUGAAAUGGAAAUAACAAAAAGUACAAUUACUAUCAUUUCAACUACUAAUUAAGCAAGUACAGAAGAAAUCUAUGACAUUUGAGAAGAGUAAUCUGCAUACAACAGCACCUUCCUCUUGAUUUUGAUGUGAACCACCACCAGCUGUUUCAACACUUGCUCUCAUUUAACUGAAUAAGAGGUCAGCAGCAAGGUUGUUGAAUUACUGAUGUUUUCCACAGUGAUUCAUUUUAAUGUAUAGUUGAUUUUACCAUGAAUGUAAAAAGUGUGUUUUUCUCCUUUGUAUGUUAUAUUUUAAUAAUAAAUUGAAUUUUUUAAAAAUGCGGCCAGGCACAGUGGUUCAUGCCUGUAAUCCCAGCACUUUUGGAGGCCAAGGCAGAUGGAUCACCUGAGGUCAAGAAUUUGAGACCGCCUGGCCAACAUGGUGAAACCUCAUCUCUACUAAAAAUACAAAAAAAAAAAAAAAAAAGCCAGGUGUGGUGGCACACGCCAUCUGUGCUCCCAGCUACUCAGGGAGGCUGAGGCAGGAGAAUCACUUGAACGCAGGGGGCAGAGGUUGUAGAGAGCCAAGAUCAUGCCACUGCAUUCCAACCUGGGUGAAAGAGGGAGACUCCGCCAAAAAAAAAUAAAUAAAUAAAAGCAUCAUCCUGCUUUGACAAGAGAUGGAAGUCUGUUCUUCAGGAUUUCUGGGAGUGGGAAUCUUAUUGUCUUGUGUAAAACUCCACUGGGGCAAGCGUCAGAAUCGAGGAGUGACCUUCUCGCACCCCUGGACUCUUUUUGACUAUGUGAACUAAAACAUGAUAAGAAGCUGUCAUUUUAACCCCCACAGUGACAGUUUCCCCACAACUGAAUUCUAAUCUUAAGUGAUGCACUCCCCAGAAUGUUCUGGACAAGGCCUGGUGCCAUCCCUGCUGCAGUCCCUGGAGGGAGAGCAGGGGGUCUCCUCGGGGCCACCGUGGAGUCUCUGGGGCAAGAGGGAGGCUGCCGGGGGGAGGAUGACAGGUCUGCUCACUUGUGGACUGGACACAAUUCCUUCUAGGCUGCCGGGGGAGGAUGACAGGUCUGCUCACUUGUGGACUGGACACAAUUCCUUCUAGGCUGCCGGGGGGAGGAUGACAGGUCUGCUCACUUGUGGACUGGACACAAUUCCUUCUAGGCUGCCCUCUGGAUGUGAAUUCCAGAUGCACAGGUAAUGUAGCAGCAGAAAUUCCUCUGAGAUUAUGUCUGUGUAUAGUUGUGUUGGUUUGAAAAGUGUUUUGGUCAUUUGAGUCUUCAUACUUAGUAAACAAACAAAAAUAAACUGGAAAAAAAUUCUGAAUUUGUAAAGUGGUAUCAAUAGUGUAGAUACAUUUUUUUUUUUUAAUUGAGAUGGAGUCCCACUCUGUUGCCCAGGAUGGAGUGCAGUGGCAGGAUCUCCUCUCACUGCAAGCUCCGCCUCCUGGGUUCACGCCAUUCUCCUGCCUCAGCCUUCUGAGUAGCUGGGACUACAGGCGCCAGCCACCAGGACGGCUAAUUUUUUGUAUUUUUAGUAGAGACGGACUUUCACCGUGUUAGCCAGAUGGUCUCGAUCUCCUGACCUUGUGAUCUGCCUGUCUCAGCCUCCCAAAGUGCUGGGAUUACAGGCAUAAGCCACCACGCCUGGCCUAGUGUAGAUACAUUUUAACAUCAACAAAGAGACGGGCCAGCAUCUGGGGGCCAGCAGGUUUUGUCCCACUUCCCCGCCUGCCUGUGUCGCUGUGAGAAGCAUCACUGGUCCAGGCAUACAGUAAUAGCCUUGUUCUCUAGCUGGGCCCAGAGAUGUAAAGAAUCCCUGCAUUUUCAGGGGCAUCUUUGGUUCCAAAGAAGCGGCUGGGGACGCUGGAGCCCUGGUGCUUAUUUGAAUGCCAGUGGUAGCUCAGGAGAUGCUGGAGAGGGCUCCCUGGCUUCUGCCAUCUCCAGUGUAUCCCAUAGUCACCAACAUUGAAGCCACUGCUCAGGGUGCAGGGGAGUCUGGCAGAUGCUACCGGGGUUGCAGAGAGGGAGGGCAGCUGAGUCAGCACAGGCUGGAGAGGGAAACUGCAGACACAGACAGUCACUGGUG
rnacentral:lncRNA from 1 species